rnacentral:rRNA from 1 species
GAUGAACGCUGGCGGCGUGCCUAAUACAUGCAAGUCGAGCGAACGGACGAGAAGCUUGCUUCUCUGAUGUUAGCGGCGGACGGGUGAGUAACACGUGGAUAACCUACCUAUAAGACUGGGAUAACUUCGGGAAACCGGAGCUAAUACCGGAUAAUAUUUUGAACCGCAUGGUUCAAAAGUGAAAGACGGUCUUGCUGUCACUUAUAGAUGGAUCCGCGCUGCAUUAGCUAGUUGGUAAGGUAACGGCUUACCAAGGCAACGAUGCAUAGCCGACCUGAGAGGGGGAACGCCCCCACGUGAACUGAGACACGGUCCAGACCCCCACGGGGGGCAGCAGUAGGGAAUCUUCCGCAAGGGGCGAAAGCCUGACGGGGAAACGCCGGGGGGGUGAUGAAGGUCUUCGGGUGGUAAAACUCUGUUAUUGGGGAAAAACAUAUGUGUAAGUAACUGUGCCCAUCUUGACGGUACCUAAUCAGAAAGCCACGGCUAACUACGU